CACGUAGGGUGCGAGCGUUGUCCGGAAUUAUUGGGCGUAAAGAGCUCGUAGGCGGUGUGUCGCGUCGGCCGUGAAAACCUGCAGCUUAACUGUGGGCUUGCGGUCGAUACGGGCAUCACUGGAGUUCGGCAGGGGAGACUGGAAUUCCUGGUGUAGCGGUGAAAUGCGCAGAUAUCAGGAGGAACACCGAUGGCGAAGGCAGAUCUCUGGGCCGUAACUGACGCUGAGGAGCGAAAGCAUGGGGAGCGAACAGG
rnacentral:rRNA from 1 species